AUUGAACGCUGGCGGCAGGCCUAACACAUGCAAGUCGAGCGGAUGAAGGGAGCUUGCUCCUGGAUUCAGCGGCGGACGGGUGAGUAAUGCCUAGGAAUCUGCCUGGUAGUGGGGGAUAACGUCCGGAAACGGGCGCUAAUACCGCAUACGUCCUGAGGGAGAAAGUGGGGGAUCUUCGGACCUCACGCCAUCAGAUGAGCCUAUGUCGGAUUAGCUAGUUGGUGGGGUAAAGGCCUACCAAGGCGACGAUCCGUAACUGGUCUGAGAGGAUGAUCAGUCACACUGGAACUGAGACACGGUCCAGACUCCUACGGGAGGCAGCAGUGGGGAAUAUUGGACAAUGGGCGCAAGCCUGAUCCAGCCAUGCCGCGUGUGUGAAGAAGGUCUUCGGAUUGUAAAGCACUUUAAGUGGGGAGGAAGAGCAGUAAGUUAAUACCUUGCUGUUUUGACGUUACCAACAGAAUAAGCACCGGCUAACUUCGUG
rnacentral:rRNA from 1 species